GAUAUCUAAACACCGUUCAAAUUUCGAAUAUUUCCCGUAAUAUUUUCGUAUAGAAUUUCACAGCACCGCGGUACACAAUCAAUACGAGGACGGAUUUGUUACGAGCAACCGACCUGCCAACUGAUCGCGCAUGGGUUGAGCAACCAACGUACCGUAUACAGUGGUCUCGUCGAGGAUGCGAACUCUUUUCUUGCAGAAACGCGCGAAGAACACGAUGAAGAACAUGCGAAGGAAA